rnacentral:rRNA from 1 species
UACGGAGGGUGCAAGCGUUAUCCGGAUUCAUUGGGUUUAAAGGGUGCGCAGGCGGGUUUGUCAGUCAGUGGUGAAAUCCUACGGCUUAACCGUGGAACUGCCAUUGAUACUGCAAGUCUUGAGUAUAGUUGAAGUGGGCGGAAUGUAGCAUGUAGCGGUGAAAUGCAUAGAUAUGCUACAGAACACCAAUUGCGAAGGCAGCUCACUAAGUUAUAACUGACGCUCAUGCACGAAAGCGUGGGGAUCAAACAGGAUUAGAUACCCUGGUAGUCCACGCUGUAAACGAUGAUCACUCGUUGUUGGCGAUACACAGUCAGCGACCAAGCGAAAGUGAUAAGUGAUCCACCUGGGGAGUACGAUCGCAAGGUUG